rnacentral:lncRNA from 1 species
AAAGAUUCUUACAACAUUCAAUCAAAAUAGAUAUUAAUAUAUGAAAACAUAGGUUAUUUCUAGCAUAACAUCUUUUGCGCUACUACAUCUGUUGUUCAACGUUCAAACAAUUCACAAAUCCCGCCCCACAAUUUUUGGCCCCUGUUAUACUUCAUAUCUUUUGAAUCAUUUGAUUCCACCUGGCCACUAAUUUUUGACCCUCAUAACAAAAUUCCGGUCACAAAUUUUUGACCACUACUACUCAGUUUCUUGAAUCAUUUGAUUCUACCCAGCCAUCAAUUUU